rfam:Ovis aries breed Texel chromosome 3, whole genome shotgun sequence.
UCCCUGAUAGCUCAGUUGGUAAAGAAUCUGCCUUCAAUGCAGGAAACCCUGGGUUGAUUCCUGGGUUGAUUCCUGGUUUGGGAA